GGCGGCCAUGGGGCAACAGGCGGCCAGGGCGCCAAGGGCCAGGUAGCGACGGCUGGCGGCGGCGCGGCGGCGGGGCCUGCGGGCUCGGUCCGGCAUGUAGACGCCCCCGCAGGCGCCCGCGGCAGCGAACGGCAUCAGUGUUUUUCUGACCGAAGUUCUCAUUUCCUGACAAUGGAAAUGGAACAAGAAAAAAUGACCAUGAAUAAGGAAUUGAGUCCAGACGCGGCUGCUUACUGCUGCUCGGCCUGCCACGGCGACGAGACCUGGAGUUACAACCACCCCAUCCGGGGCCGGGCCAAGUCUCGCAGCCUGUCUGCCUCGCCCGCCCUGGGGAGCACCAAGGAGUUCAGGAGGACACGCUCUCUUCAUGGGCCAUGCCCGGUGACCACUUUUGGACCAAAGGCCUGUGUGCUGCAGAACCCCCAGACCAUCAUGCACAUUCAGGACCCCGCGAGCCAGCGGCUGACGUGGAACAAGUCCCCAAAGAGCGUCCUUGUCAUCAAGAAGAUGAGAGAUGCCAGCCUACUGCAGCCGUUCAAGGAGCUCUGCACGCACCUCAUGGAGGCACGCGGGGCAGGGGGGAAGGGGGCCUGGGGUGCACAUGGAGUUGGGGGGGCCUCCAUCCACAUCACCGCCCCGUGAGACCAUGGGAACCACCUCAAGUGCUGGGAAACGGCUGCUUGUCUGGAACUGGGGACCGAGCGGGGAUCUGCCCGGUGUCUGGGUUUGUGUGUGCCGCCAUGGCAAGCACCAGACUGGGUGACCAACAAUGAGCUGGUGGGCUCGUGGCCCUGGAGGCCGGGAAGUCCGAGAUCAAGGGGCCACAUCUGACGUGGGCCUUCCUGCUGUGUCUUCUCUUCAGAAGAGCAGGCGUGGGGGUUGCGGCGCCCAGGAAAGCCACUCCUGAAAUAACAGCCUUAGUCAAUUCCUGAGAGGGAGCCCCCUCCGCCCAGUCAUCUCUUAAAGGUCCUGCU
rnacentral:sRNA from 1 species